rnacentral:rRNA from 1 species
UACGUAGGCAGCGAGCGUUGUUCGGAAUUACUGGGCGUAAAGCGUGCGUAGGCGGUGCCUCAAGUUUGGUGUGAAAUCUCCCGGCUCAACCGGGAGGGUGCGCCGAAAACUGAGGUGCUCGAGUGUGGGAGAGGUAAGCGGAAUUCCUGGUGUAGCGGUGAAAUGCGUAGAUAUCAGGAGGAACACCUGCGGUGUAGACGGCUUUCUGGACCAUUGUUGACGCUGAGACACGAAAGCGUGGGUAGCAAACAGG